UACGAAGGGGCUAGCGUUGUUCGGAUUUACUGGGCGUAAAGCGCACGUAGGCGGUUUGUUAAGUGAGAGGUGAAAUCCCAGAGCUCAACUCUGGAACUGCCUUUCAUACUGGCAAGCUAGAGUCCGGAAGAGGUAAGUGGGAACUCCUAGUGUAGAGGUGGAAUUCGUAGAUAUUAGGAAGAACACCAGUGGCGAAGGCGGCUUACUGGUCCGGAACUGACGGCUGAGGUGCGAAAGCGUGGGGAGCAAACAGGA
rnacentral:rRNA from 1 species